rnacentral:rRNA from 1 species
AACGCGAAGAACCUUACCUGGGCUCGAAGCGCAGUGGACCGGGGUAGAAAUAUCCCUUCCCCUUAAAAGGCUGCUGCGGAGGUGCUGCAUGGCUGUCGUCAGCUCGUGUCGUGAGAUGUUGGGUUAAGUCCCGCAACGAGCGCAACCCUUAUUGCCAGUUGCCAUCAUUCAGUUGGGCACUCUGGCGAAACUGCGCAGGAUAACUGCGAGGAAGGUGGGGAUGACGUCAAGUCCUCAUGGCCUUUAUGUCCAGGGCUACACACGUGCUACAAUGGCCGGUACAAACCGUCGCAAACCCGCGAGGGGGAGCUAAUCGGAAAAAGCCGGCCUCAGUUCGGAUUGGAGUCUGCAACUCGACUCCAUGAAGCUGGAAUCGCUAGUAAUCGCGGAUCAGAACGCCGCGGUGAAUACGUUCCCGGGCCUUGUACACACCGGAGUA